UACGUAGGGUACAAGCGUUGUCCGGAAUUAUUGGGCGUAAAGAGCUCGUAGGCGGUCUGUUGCGUCGGCUGUGAAAACCCGGGGCUCAACCCCGGGCCUGCAGCCGAUACGGGCAGACUAGAGUUCGGCAGGGGAGACUGGAAUUCCUGGUGUAGCGGUGAAAUGCGCAGAUAUCAGGAGGAACACCGGUGGCGAAGGCGGGUCUCUGGGCCGAUACUGACGCUGAGGAGCGAAAGCGUGGGGAGCGAACAGG
rnacentral:rRNA from 1 species